rnacentral:misc_RNA from 1 species
GAUGAAGAACGUAGCGAAAUGCGAUACUUGGUGUGAAUUGCAGAAUCCCGUGAACCAUCGAGUCUUUGAACGCAAGUUGCGCCCGAAGCCAUCAGGUUGAGGGCACGUCUGCCUGGGCGUCACAUAUCGUUGCCCAAUGCCUAUUGCAGUGCAAUAGGAAUUUCUAGGGCGAAUGAUGGCUUCCCGUGAGCGUUGUUGCCUCGCGGUUGGUUGAAAAUCGAGUCCUUGGUAGGGUGUGCCAUGGUAGAUGGUGGUCGAGUUAGAACGAUACCGAUCAUGUGCAUGCUCCCCAAAAUAUGGCCUCUAUGACCCACACGCGUCUUUUGACGCUCAUGACGAGACCUCAGGUCAGGCGGGGCUACCCGCUGAAUUUAAGCAUAUCAAUAAGCGGAGGAA